UACGGGGGGGGCUAGCGUUGUUCGGAAUUACUGGGCGUAAAGGGCGCGUAGGCGGCCUACUAAGUCGGACGUGAAAUCCCUCAGCUUAACUGGGGAACUGCGUCCGAUACUGGAUGGCUUGAGUUUGGGAGAGGGUUGCGGAAUUCCAGGUGUAGCGGUGAAAUGCGUAGACAUCUGGAGGAACACCGGUGGCGAAGGCGGCAUCCUGGACCAACACUGACACUGAGGAGCGAAAGCCAGGGGAGCAAACGGG
rnacentral:rRNA from 1 species